AGUAACGCGUGAGGAACCUGCCUCAAAGAGGGGGACAACAGUUGGAAACGACUGCUAAUACCGCAUAAGCCCACGGCUCGGCAUCGAGCAGAGGGAAAAGGAGCAAUCCGCUUUGAGAUGGCCUCGCGUCCGAUUAGCUAGUUGGUGAGGUAAUGGCCCACCAAGGCGACGAUCGGUAGCCGGACUGAGAGGUUGAACGGCCACAUUGGGACUGAGACACGGCCAG
rnacentral:rRNA from 1 species